rnacentral:rRNA from 1 species
AGAGUUUGAUCCUGGCUCAGGAUGAACGCUAGCGGCAGGCCUAAUACAUGCAAGUCGAACGGGAGUAGCAAUACUCUAGUGGCGCACGGGUGCGUAACGCGUAUGCAACCUACCUUUCAGUGGGGGAUAGCCCGGGGAAACCCGGAUUAAUACCGCAUAAGAUAAUUAAGUGGCAUCAUUUAAUUAUGAAACAUUUAUGGCUGAAAGAUGGGCAUGCGUUAGAUUAGCUAGUUGGUGAGGUAGAGGCUCACCAAGGCUAUGAUCUAUAGGGGUUCUGAGAGGAAGAUCCCCCACACUGGUACUGAGACAGGGACCAGACUCCUACGGGAGGCAGCAGUAGGGAAUAUUGGGCAAUGGAGGCAACUCUGACCCAGCCAUGCCGCGUGCAGGAAGAAGGCCUUCUGGGUUGUAAACUGCUUUUGGAAGGGAACAAAACGGGCAUGCGUGCCAACUUGAGUGUACCUUCAGAAUAAGCACCGGCUAACUCCGUGCCAGCAGCCGCGGUAAUACGGAGGGUGCAAGCGUUGUCCGGAUUUAUUGGGUUUAAAGGGUGCGUAGGCGGCUUAUUAAGUCAGGGGUGAAAGACCGCAGCUCAACUGUAGCAGUGCCUUUGAUACUGAUGAGCUUGAGUACAGAUGAGGCAGGCGGAAUGGGUGGUGUAGCGGUGAAAUGCAUAGAUACCAUCCAGAACACCGAUUGCGAAGGCAGCCUGCUAAACUGUAACUGACGCUGAGGCACGAAAGCGUGGGGAUCGAACAGGAUUAGAUACCCUAGUAGUCC